AUGCACGCUGGCGGCGUGCCUAAUACAUGCAAGUCGAGCGAACAGACGAGGAGCUUGCUCCUCUGACGUUAGCGGCGGACGGGUGAGUAACACGUGGAUAACCUACCUAUAAGACUGGGAUAACUUCGGGAAACCGGAGCUAAUACCGGAUAAUAUAUUGAACCGCAUGGUUCAAUAGUGAAAGACGGUUUUGCUGUCACUUAUAGAUGGAUCCGCGCCGCAUUAGCUAGUUGGUAAGGUAACGGCUUACCAAGGCAACGAUGCGUAGCCGACCUGAGAGGGUGAUCGGCCACACUGGAACUGAGACACGGUCCAGACUCCUACGGGAGGCAGCAGUAGGGAAUCUUCCGCAAUGGGCGAAAGCCUGACGGAGCAACGCCGCGUGAGUGAUGAAGGUCUUCGGAUCGUAAAACUCUGUUAUUAGGGAAGAACAAAUGUGUAAGUAACUAUGCGCGUCUUGACGGUACCUAAUCAGAAAGCCACGGCUAACUACGUG
rnacentral:rRNA from 1 species